rnacentral:rRNA from 1 species
CCUACGGGAGGCAGCAGUGGGGAAUAUUGGACAAUGGGCGAAAGCCUGAUCCAGCCAUGCCGCGUGUGUGAAGAAGGCCUUCGGGUUGUAAAGCACUUUCAGUGGGGAAGAAAGCCUUGGGGCUAAUACCCUCGAGGAAGGACAUCACCCACAGAAGAAGCACCGGCUAACUCCGUGCCAGCAGCCGCGGUAAUACGGAGGGUGCGAGCGUUAAUCGGAAUUACUGGGCGUAAAGCGCGCGUAGGCGGUCUGAUAAGCCGGUUGUGAAAGCCCCGGGCUCAACCUGGGAACGGCAUCCGGAACUGACAGGCUAGAGUGCAGGAGAGGAAGGUAGAAUUCCCGGUGUAGCGGUGAAAUGCGUAGAGAUCGGGAGGAAUACCAGUGGCGAAGGCGGCCUUCUGGACUGACACUGACGCUGAGGUGCGAAAGCGUGGGUAGCAAACAGGAUUAGAUACCCCGGUAGUC